AUGGUACUCCCUCCGUUCGGAAUUACUUGUCUUGGAAAUGGAUAUAUCUAGAACUAAAAUACAUCUAGAUACAUCCAUUUCUAUGACAAGUAAUUCCGAACGGAGGGAGUAUUUG
rnacentral:pre_miRNA from 1 species